rnacentral:rRNA from 1 species
GAUGAACGCUGGCGGCGUGCCUAAUACAUGCAAGUCGAGCGAACAGAUGAGGAGGUUGCUCCUCUGUCGUUAGCGGCGAACGAGAGAGUAACAAGUGGAUAACCGACCUAUAAGACUGGGAUAACUUCGGGAAACCGGAGCUAAUACCGGAUAAUAUAUUGAACCGUAUGGUUCAAUAGUGAAAGACGGCUUUGCUGUCAUUUAUAGAUGGAUCCGCGAUGCAUUAGCUAGUUGGUAGGGUAACGGCUUACCAAGGCAACGAUGCGUAGCCGACCUGAGAGGGUGAUCGGCCACACUGGGACUGAGACGCGGUCCAGACUCCUACGGGAGGCAGCAGUAGGGAAUCUUCCGCAAUGGGCGAAAGCCUGACGGAGCAACGCCGCGUGAGUGAUGAAGGGUUUCGGAUCGUAAAACUCUGUUAUUAGGGAAGAACGAAUGUGUAAGUAACUAUGCACGUCUUGACGGUACCUAAUCAGAAAGCCACGGCUAACUACGUG